GAUGAAGAACUUAGCUAAAUGCGAUACUUGGUGUGAAUUGCAGAAUCCCGUGAACCAUCGAGUCUUUGAACGCAAGUUGCGCCCGAAGCCAUUAGGCCGAGGGCACGCCUGCCUGGGCGUCACACGUCGUUGCCCCCCCAUCUACUCCUUCGGGAUUGCGGGGGGCGGAUGAUGGCCUCCCGUGCGCCUCGUCGCGCGGUUGGCAUAAAUGCCAAGUCCUCGGCGACGCACGCCACGACAAUCGGUGGUUGCGAAACCUCGGUUGCCCGUCGUGUGCGGUCGUCGCGCAUCGAGGGCUCGAAAAAAUUGCCGGGCUCCGGCUCGGCUUUCAACGCGACCCCAGGUCAGGCGGGGUUACCCGCUGAAUUUAAGCAUAUCAAUAAGCGGAGGA
rnacentral:misc_RNA from 1 species